UUAUGGAGAUAAUAUCAUGAGUUAUGUGAUAAAUUUGAAUUUGCUACUACUAGUGAUAUUCAGAUAGAAUCAGAUUCAGAAAACGGAGCCACUACCAUGCUUAUGCAAGAAAAAACAUAGUAACCAACAGAAUAGUAAGCAAG
rnacentral:lncRNA from 1 species